GCCCACCUUUGGUCCGCCUACGCCGCAAACUCUCUCAUCUUCCUCGCAGUAAAACUGUGCCGCGCCGCCACUGUUCUACCCCACCGCCGGUGCAGAGCAGCCAUGAGGUCAACUCAAGCUCCGCCACCAAUUAUGCGCAGCCGAGCUACCACUCCUCGGAGGUUCGGUCUUCCUCCACGCGAAUAGAUGGCCUUGACAACACCACCUACGUGUCUUCCUCUCCCUCGGCACCCACCUCCCGCCGCAAACCGUGGCCGGGAUGGCCUCUCCAACGAGAUUUGUAUACAUUAUGCUGCAUAUAUCUUGCUUUUCGUGACUCAUCAGCUAUAUAUAUGUGUUUCCACAUGUAUUAACACAUAUGAUUGAUCUUUCAUCUUCUCUAUUCAUGUGCACAUAAUCACAUUACAUUA